UAGGGAAUCUUCCACAAUGGGCGCAAGCCUGAUGGAGCAACACCGCGUGAGUGAAGAAGGGUUUCGGCUCGUAAAGCUCUGUUGUUAAAGAAGAACACGUAUGAGAUUAACUGUUCAUACGUUGACGGUAUUUAACCAGAAAGUCACGGCUAACUACGUGCCAGCAGCCGCGGUAAUACGCAGGUGGCAAGCGUUAUCCGGAUUUAUUGGGCGUAAAGAGAGUGCAGGCGGUUUUCUAAGUCUGAUGUGAAAGCCUUCGGCUUAACCGGAGAAGUGCAUCGGAAACUGGAUAACUUGAGUGCAGAAGAGGGUAGUGGAACUCCAUGUGUAGCGGUGGAAUGCGUAGAUAUAUGGAAGAACACCAGUGGCGAAGGCGGCUACCUGGUCUGCAACUGACGCUGAGACUCGAAAGCAUGGGUAGCGAACAGGAUUAGAUACCCUGGUAGUCCAUGCCGUAAACGAUGAGUGCUAGGUGUUGGAGGGUUUCCGCCCUUCAGUGCCGGAGCUAACGCAUUAAGCACUCCGCCUGGGGAGUACGACCGCAAGGUUG
rnacentral:rRNA from 1 species